AAGGGCCCACAACAGUCCGUGCAAGUUUUCGGACGAAAGAAAACUUCUACUGCUGUCGCUCAUUGUAAACGUGGAAAUGGCCUGAUUAAAGUUAAUGGACGACCACUGGAGCAGGUUGAACCACAGAUCUUAAGAUACAAGCUCCAGGAGCCCAUCCUGCUGCUGGGUAAGGAGAAGUUUGCUGGGGUGGACAUCAGAGUGCGCGUCCGAGGGGGUGGUCAUGUGGCCCAGGUCUACGCUAUUAGACAGGCUAUCUCCAAGUCUUUGGUAGCUUAUUAUCAGAAAUAUGUUGAUGAGGCCUCCAAGAAAGAGAUUAAGGAUGUCCUGAUCAGCUACGACAGAACUCUGUUGGUCGCUGACCCCAGACGAUGCGAGCCCAAGAAGUUUGGAGGUCCCGGCGCUCGUGCCCGCUACCAGAAAUCUUACCGUUAAUCUGGUCAUUAAAUUGUAAAUUGACACGUC
rnacentral:misc_RNA from 1 species